GCACGUCUUGCCGAGGCAAGCCUAUACACGGCGGAUAUUUCUUUCGAGGGCGAACCUAGCCAGGCGUGGAGUACGUUGGUUUGAAUGUUGUUUGCGUAGAAAACUCCAGAUGUGGCUACGGAGUUGCGGAAGGGAUGAAUUUCUGCUGAACCCCAUUCCAGGCCCAGCCCUGGCCCUGAUAGCCCCGACCGCUCCCGGGGGACUGUUUGCAGGCUUGCCGUUAUCUUACAAGGUACCAGACUUCCUGCCAACAACGUCAGAUACCGAGAAGGUUGCAGGUCUGGGCGUUAAGCCCAGGAAUAUCGGCAUGCCAUUUCGUAACCAGCACUUUCUGGCAACCCGGUGCACACAACCUCCUCUGUCUCUGCUUCUCCGGUCAGGCCGCUCAAGCGGUCACUUGCUCAUGUGGAUAUGUGCACUUCAUUGAGUGCGCGCCUGCAUUGGGAUGCAGAUUCAACUGUAGAACCUCUGCCAGGGGAGUGGCACUCCCCUGACCUCUGCCCCUUGCGCUUACUCAAUACGAUUCCAUCGACUAGAGGCUGUUGCCACACGUCGUACUGCUCAUACAGGCCUCACGCGUUUUACUAAGCUAGCAUGAACGUCAAUGGGGGGGGCUGUGCGCGUUCAGGGGUACACGGUGGACGUUCGGGACAGUCGUUGCGGAUGGGCGGGAGAGGACAGUUCGUGCGGGAUCUGUGCGGCAGGCACGGUAAUUGAUGGGGGCGCCUGAAAAGACAGAUGAGCCAGUGCGGACCGGGGGAGGGAGCGAUUGGACUUGCUGUUCGCGCGACUGAAGAUGGAGGGAUGGGCGAAACAGGGGAAAUCGGUAACGGUAGUGGAGGGUCGGAGAACUUGGUUGGGCGGGGAAAGUAGUGGGAGGAGUGGGAAAAGUGUCUGUGUGUUCGUGGGGCGGCGGGAACGUGGCCCGCCGAGACUGCGCAAGUUCAGAAAAGACAGAAUGGAAGGUUCCAGACGAGGCCCGUGCUCAUGACGGCUUUUAUACGAGCUUUUAGCACACGUCCAUCACAUCUAUAUUGCCCAGGGGGCGACUGCGUUGCAAUCUCAGCACACAGCAUGCCAAGUUAUUGCACGCUCGUCCCAUGACAACUACAUCAGCGGGCAGACGUGAUCAAGGACUGGGCGCCAAAUUAAAUCACGUCAACACUCCGUAUACGUUGUUUUUACCCGCCGUUUCCUACGGAGAAAGCACGCAGAUACGGUCAAUUCAAUCUGGAAGCUCACACUUGGCGGUACAAACGUCUAAGUCUGCACACGCACGUCAGGCUGCGGUCACGCCUGAAUGCAUGAACAUGUAACACAUUUCACCUUGCUUUUAUAUCAUGGCUAUUCACGUGCCAACCUGCUGGGAGUUUCUGUCUCCAUCAACCUGCACUUCAAGCCAUAGUGUCGCUCCUGCAUCACGUUCCUACAGGCCACGCCGCGCGUGGCCAACACGCCAGCACACGCCGGGUUCUGCGCGGACCCGGCCGUGGACCGCACACACCCCCGCCGCAUUCACGGUGCCACGAGGCCGCACCCCACGUAGCAUACCGCAACACAUCACAGGUUCUUGGUGCUGAUGUAGUAGGGGCAGACCGCAAUGCUGAAGACGUUGCCUGCGGAUCGGCAGCAGUCCAGAGAAUGGAUACCAGUCACCACCGUAAUCCACACGCGUAACCCAGUUGCUACAGCCAUACGUAUCUAGAGGCAGGGUAUAUAUGUUUGUAUGUGCGGUUGUACGUUGUAUGUGCGCGCGUGCAGCGUGCGGACCUCCCCUCCUCAAUCUGCACGUAGACAGUGCCGGCCACACAGCCACUCCCCCGGUCCGAUGCACGCCGCUGUCACGUCCGAUGAAACGUCACGCCACGUUCCACCCACCCUGCCGUUGAGACUAUUCCAUUCGUAUGGGCUCUGGCUUGUAAUGUGCCUACCCACCCACCCACCCACCCACCCACCCACCCACCCACCCAGUCCUCCCACCACGCCCACGCCCACCUGUGAUGUGCUCCAGGCGCCACAUGCGCUCCCGCGCCCGCCGCCGCAGCACCACCACGUCGUACAGGUCGUCCAGCAUCUGGUGGUGGGCGGGUGGGGCGGGGGGCGGGCCGGGGUCAGUCGAGUGGCCGUGGGGCCUUCACGACUACGGACAAAGCACCGGAGCCGGUAAUUUCGCAUGACCAACCCUUUUCACCCACUGGGUAGCCGAGGUCAGCGCCUAACCAUACAUACAUAUACACACCCACCCACCCACCCACCCACCCACCCACCCACCCACCCACCCACCCACACCCACACCCACACCCACACCCACACCCACACCCACACCCACACCCACACCCACACCCACACCCACACCCACACCCACACCCACACCCACACCCACACCCACACCCACACCCACACCCACACCCACACACACACCCACACACACACACACACACACACACACACACACACACACACACGCACACACACCACCAUCAUGCCGCGCAUGGGCUGGAAGCUCUCUGGCUCUGAGACCCUCAAAGUCCCCCUAGCGAAGCUGUCCGUCCGCAUGGCCACAUCCAUGCAGCUGGACGAUGUGGCCACGCGGCGGGCGGACCUACACGAGGAUUAUGAGCGCGCGGCACAGGGCCUCCCGCCGCGCGCUGUGGUGCGGCGGGAGGACCUGCCAGCAGCUGCGGCUGCAACGCUUGGCGCCAUUAGGGACACCCUGGCGCGCCUUUGGCAGAAGGUGUGGUGGGAACGGCGACACUUUGAGACGCUGUGGCGGUUGGCCAUCGACGCAGUGCCGCUGCCGGGAAACUCGCAUAUGCCGUUGGCUCGCCGUGAGCCAUGCGGCUGUGGGCAACACGGCCAUGGGGGCGCCGCGGUGGAGACACACGCCGCCGCCGCGCCCACGCCACGGCAGCACCACUUCUGGGAUUGCGCGGUGGCGAAGGCCGUGGUGGCGCAGAUCAACGCACACAACCCCGGUCCGGCUCCCAUCAGCCAAGCCCAGCUGUGGCUGGUUCAGGCGCCGCCGGGUUUUCAGCAGUGUGUUUGGGACGUGGUGGUGAUGGCGGCGCUGGCCGCCACAGAACAUGGCCGGGUGCGGCUGCGCGGGAUGACGCGCGCCGCAGCGGCCCUGGGAAUUCAGACGGCGGCGGCAGCAGCUCCCGAGGCUGCGGUGGCAGGUGCAGCGGAGGCGGAACCCGAUCUUGACGAGAUCCCGCCCACACAGCUGACGCCGCCGCAGCCAGGCGUCAACCCCGUCGAGCUUGCGUGCGCUCGUGCAGUCGCGGACUUCUGGUCGCGGCUGAUGCAGUUUGCGCAGCUCGGCGUGCCCCAAAAGGGCUGGGAUGGUGUUGACGCCACUCACCCCAUCCUGGCGGUGGUGAACGGUGAAAUGCUGUGCGCGAUGCCGCAAGCUAUGGAGCUGGAGGCUUGAAAGGGAUCAGCCCUUAGGAGAAGCGCGUGAGCACUAACAUGAGCCACUGAAGCAGUGGCAUACGAGAGGGUCAGCGGGGGAGCUUAGUGGGCAGGCGAAGGGUUUUUUUUGUUUUACGCCCGUGGGAGCAGGGCCAGGUUUGCGGGGUUUUUAUGCCUGAGAGGGUGUAUUGGGUGCUGCAACACCCCGGGUCUUACGGCCUGGACCGGCCUAGUGGCCAGACGCGUUUGUGGCUGCCCUUAGGCAUUGUCUGCCCUGGCGUCGAGAGCUGGUUAGGUUGCGGUUGAGGUCGUGCAGGCUGCCGGGUCGUAGGACUCAGCCCCGCAGCCACUGUGGUCGUGCUUUCGCGUGCUGUCACGUGCUGAGUGUUUUGUUUUGUUUGCUGUUUUUGUCUGCCCGCCUGGUUUUAUUAAGAGGUAGCUCGCCCGCUGGGUCUGAGGUUGUUACACCGGUAGUAAUUCCGCAAGGAUUACUGGCGCGGUGAAGGGUCGGAGUGCGUUGCCCUGUGGACUCCAGAGCUGUUUUGCGCUCUGCCGGGGAAACGCCAGGUCACGGCAGCCCUCGAUUGAGAGCCCUGUCGUUGGUUAUACCAGAUACACGAUUCACGUGAUCUGGCAGAAUAACCGUGGAAACCGUAGUCACACACACACACACACACACACACACACACACACACACACACACACACACACACACACACACACACACACACACACACACACACACACACACACACACACACACACACACACACACACACACACACACACACACACACACACACACACACACACACACACACACACACACACACACAGAGAGAUACACACACACAGAGAGAUACACACACACACAGCACAACGUGACCGCAGCCCGAGUCCCGCACAUCCAACACCUGCAACUUUCACCCGGCCCCCUGGGUCCCCUCGCCCCAGCGCCUCACCUCGCGGUUGAGCGCGAAGUGUGUGUGGCGCAUAGCGUUGACGAUGGAGGCCAGGAAGGACAGGUCGAUCACGUCCAGGUCCAGCGGCACGCGCGUCACCGGGUCCGUGAUCUGGUACACGCGCCUGCCCUGCAUGUGUAUGCCACACGUGCCGGUGCAUGUGUUCGCGAGCACAGGCAUGGCAUGGGGUGUUAGAAGAGCACAAGAAAGGGGCGACAUCGUGCUGUACACGUGUGUGGGUGCACGCGAGUGGAAGUACAGUCGAACCACCUGAGGAAGUGUGGCAGGAUCGGCCAGGCGCAGUGGCCUUGAACACAGGGGUCAGUGUCGCACAGCCAUCGCGCAGUCCCUCCCACCCCCGCCUGUGACACACGCGCCGCCACCCACCAGGCUCUUCUCCAACCAACCGUACAACACGGGCUUGCGCAGGCGGCGGCGGUAAUGCACCACCCGCUCGCACCACCACGCCAGCUCCUUCGCUCCCUCCUCUUCUUCUUCCUCCUCCUCCUGCUGCCCAUGCCCCUCUCCAUGCCCGGCAGCCGGCGCCGCCGCCUCCACGUCAGCUAAGAAAGCUGCGACAGCCUUGCGCGCCGCUGGGCGCAGGCGCUGCAGCCGCGAGUCAAACAUCGUCAUCAAAAAGUAGUAUAGACAACGCACGCUGCAUAUCGGGAAGUGCGAAAGCGGCAAAGCGCGCAGCAAAACUGCACGCGUCCAGAACUGCGGUUGCGAAGGCCAUUGCCUCUGAGUCCGUGCUGGCUGGAUGUUUUCGUUUGUUAGGGCAGCAGCAUGCUCGCCAUCAAGAAGAGUGUAGAGUGAGCAGCGGGCCCCUUGCAGACCAAUGGGGUUUUAAACAUUGAUGCCAAAAUUUCACAACCAGAUCAAACUGUGAUUGCAACAGCGCGUUCUUACACUGUAAUCGUUCAGCAAUCGAAAUACACGCGUGUUGCCCUGAGCGGCAUCGCCGCGCGCAAAAUAGUAGUCUCUUUUGGCGCGCUCCGACAACUGGGGCGCCCGCUCUCGCCAGCGCUCUCGCCGUGUUAGCCUGCAAUCCAAUUGAAAUGAUGCAUUGCUCUCCCGACCAUUUCUAAUGCUGUGACCGGAUGCAUCAUCGUGGUUCCUCCGCUCACGCACUCCGCAUAGCAACACUCUGCCUGCCUUUGACUGGAACCCGCGCCCUGGCAACCGUCAAACGUAGAGCAGGUACAGACCACCCUCGCCAGCGCCCAACGGACUGUCAAAUUUCAUCCAGUCAUAGCAACUGCCCUGCCGUCAGCAUUCUUGCCCGCAUGAAAUUUACAUACCAUACAGUACCGUAAUGGGACACGCGCACUUAUCUUACAAGUUACAACUAUUCCCAGACCCCGCACCGGCGGUGGCAUGCCGCCCGCAAAUCCCUCGCCAACGCCCAGCCCCGCGUUGCCAGCUGCCGCCGCAGCAUGUGCACGCCGCCGCCGCUGGGGCCACCGCCGAGGCCGCCGCCUUAGCGGGCGCUGCCGCUGCCGCCCGCCGGAGCGCUGCCGGCAGGGAAGCGCCAGCCCAACGGCGUCGCCGCCAGCCGCGCCGCGCGCCACUCCAUGAAGCUCCUGGGCGCGUUGGGGUUGGGCCCGGGCCCGCCCGGCUCCGAGUCGGGGUCGAAGAUGUUGCUUCGCAGCCGGAUCCUUUUCAUCCGCCGCAGAAUUAGCUCCUCGCACCCCAUGUCAGGAAGGUAGUGAAGCCGCCCGCCCACUACCUCGUCCAGCGGCGGAAGCUGGUGGCGGUACGGAUCACUGCGGUCGGCAGCAGUCGCACGGCGGCAGGGAGGGGCAGGGGUGGCGGCAGGGGUGGGGGCAGGGGGAGGGGUAGGGAGGGGGUGUUGGACAGAAGCCACGUGGGUAACAGUGAAGGGACAUGCAGACGGUCGGGGCUGGGAAGGAUGGGCACGGUUGCCUGCCAUGCAUGGGCGCGUGACCAAGUAAGCUGAAUUACAAGGUAUCCCCAAACCAGACAUAACCAAGCAAAGGAGCCCUUUCGGUUUACCUGAAUGGCUCGUAGCGCCCAGAGCUGCAAUCACCGCCGCCGCCGCCUAGCCUGCUGUUGGCGGCGCCGCUGCCGGCUGCUGCUGAUGCCGGUGACUCCUUGGCCGGCACGUCACGGCCGGGCCCGCUGCCUGCCGCGCGCCGUGCCUCUCGGCCCUGAGCACCUGCGGCCUCCUCCGCGAGUGGCACGGCAUCGGCCGCACCGCCUGCUGGUGCCGCUGCCGCUGCCGCUGCCGCUGUGGCUGUGGCUGAUGCACCUGCGGUGCUCGAGUGAGUGCGGAGGUCCUCCCACUCAGCCGUCGCGGUCGCGGCACCACCAUGACCGUCACCGUCGCCCCAGCCGCCCGAUGCUUCAGCCGCAGUCGCGGCGGAGGGCUCCGCGCCGCCGGCUUGGUGUGGCUCGGGCGCGUCAGCCGCAGCGGCGCCCUUCCCACCCGCCGUGCCACGCACUUGCGCGGAUGUCGCUGCAGCGGCCACGUCUGAUGUGCCUGCGCUGCUCCGGUACACGGAGCCCCCGACCCAGCCUACCGGACCCACCGCGUCACCGCGAGCUUCCGCUUGGGCCUCAGGUGCCAUGCCUGCCCCGUCCCCCUCGCCGCCACCGCCAGCACACCGGCCGCCCUCUGCUUCGGCGCGGCGGCGCUUGCCCGACUCCGGGCUUGACCCCGCUGCCCGCUCGCCAUCCUGCGCCUGGCUUCCUGACUGGCCAGGACUGCGCCCCCGCGGGCCAGGCUCCGGGUCCCGCUCGCGCCCCUGGCCUCGGUCCCGGCCUCGGUCUGAAGCCUUGCCGCUGCUGCGGCCCGGAUCCCGCUUUGGCUCCGGCCCUGGCUUCGGCUCGUUGCCGCUGCCGCCGCCGCGCGCUCGCCCCUCCAGGUCAUGCUGCCGCUCCUGCUCGCCCUCGCGCCGGCGCUUCUGCCCCCGGUCGCUAUCACGCUCCCGCUCUCGCUCCUGCUCCCGGCCGCGUGUAGACUCCUUCUCGUCAUGCUUGCGUUGCUGGUCAUGCUCGCGCUCACUGCCGCGCUCCCGCGUCUGCUCCAGCUCGGGGCCGCGCUUCCGGUCCCCGCCCCUGCCGCCCUCCUUGUCCCGGUCCCGCUGCCGGUCUCGCUCGCGCCCCGGCUCCGCCGUGCGCUUUUUCUCACGAGACCGGUCGCGGUCACGCUUGCGGUCAGCGUCACGUGGCCUUUCGCGCCCCGAGCUGUGGGCCUGCGGCUGGUCAUAGUCGCUGCUGUUGCCCUGCGGCUGCUCAUCCCGCCCUCGCUUUUUAUCGUUCGGCUGCUGCUCCACGCCCAGCCCUUGCUCGCGCUCCACAGCUGGCUCCCUGUCCAAAGCCUGGGCCUGCGGCAGCGGCAGUGCUGCUGACAAGAGUGCGGAGAGCGAACCGGCCUGUCCUGGUGGCUGCUCGUGUGGGGACGGAAGAGGCGGCUGUUGCGAGGGCUGCAGCUGCGGUUGGGGCGACAGCGGAGGUUGUGGCUGCUGCGGCUCUAGCGGCUGUAGUGGUGCCGCCACUGGCGGCGACACCAGCGGCUGCUCGGCCGGCUGCGGCUGCGGCGGUGGCGACAUGCUUUGCACCGCAGACGGAGACAAGACGAUUGGCGUGCACCCGGUGCUGGACCGUCGCCGCAUGGUCCCUGAAGCAUCUAGGCCCUCCUGCUGCUGGUGCUGCAUUCCUCCUGCCUUAUCCUUGCCAGUUUGGCCUUGCUGCGCAGCCUGUGGGCUCCCCACUCCCACGUCCGGCUGCAAGGCGGCCCCCACCUGCCCUGCUGCCUUGCUGCGAUGCCUUUGGCUGUCGGUUCCACCGCGCUCUUCACGCGGCCGGGAUUCCUGCCGUUGCUCGUUCGUGUCAGGCACAGACCGCGGCGUGUUAGAAGCCGUCGGAGCAGCUGCGCCCGCUAGGUGUGGUGGGAGGAGCGACGGAGACAGCGGCCGCAGCGAUUCCUGCUGUUGCUGCAUCUGCAUCUGCUGCAGCUGGCCCUGCGCUAACGGCGGUGGCGGCGGUAGUGCCUGCUGCUGCGACUGUGGCUGGCGGCCCGUUUCCGCAUCACGGGACGCCUGUUUGUCGCGCUCCCGCUCCUUGCUGCUGUCUUGCCGCCGAGCCGAAUCUGUCCGGUCUCGGUCGCGCUUCCCUUGACGUUCCCGAUCGCGGUCACCGUCCCGGCUGCGGUCUCGCGCUGCAGGCUUCGCUGCUGCCGCCGCCGCCGCAGCGUCCGCCGCUUUUGGCGUGCCUGUGUUAUGACCAAAAGCACCCAAAGAUGCGGGGCGAGGGGAGGGCGGCAGCUGCUGCGGAGCUGCUGCUGCUGCUGCUGCCGCCAUCGUCGGCGCUGCCGGGCUUGGUCCUGUGGCCGCCGCUGCUGCUGCUGCUGAGGGCUCGCUGCUGCCAUGGCCGUCAGCCCGGUCGCUCUUGCUGGGUUCCGCUCCGCGUUCCUUGCCACGCAGCGACUGCUGCGAAUCUUUGCCCUCGGCACGCUCUUGCUGCUUGCGCUUCUCCCUCUCCUUCUCCUUCUCCCUGUCCCUAUCGCGCUCCUUCUCUUUCCCCCGCUCUUUGUCCCUGUCCUUAUCCUUCUGCUGCUGCCGCACCUUGUCGGCAUCCAUGCCGCGCUGCCUGUCGCCACUCACGGCACGAUCCCGGUCCCGGUCCCGGUCCCGAUCCCGAUCCCGGUCCCGGUCCCGGUCCCGGUCGCGCUCACGCUCCCGGUCCUUUGGGCGGCCGUCGCCGUGCUCCUUGUCGGCGCUGAGGCCCUGCGCCUCAUCCCGGCGCCGGCUGCGCUCUUGCUCCGGCUUCUGCCGGCCGCCCUCGCGGUCCCGACCGCGGUCUCGGCCCCUGGUGUCGCUACGCUCCCGCUCUCGCUCCCGCUUGCGCUCCCGAUCGCGGUCACGGGCCGCGUCGCAAUGGCCGUCGCCGCCGCCAGCUGCGGUCGAGUCGACGGCACGCCGCCUGUCGGGUGUUGCGUCAGCUGUGGACGUGGUGGCUGCCGGCGGCCGUGUCGGUUGGGCUGCGCCGUUGUCGGGCGUUGCCGCAGGGGCAGUGCCGCUCGGCGUCGUGACAGCGCCCCUGCCGCCUGCGUCGUCGCGCUGGCUGGCGCCAUGUUGCGGCGAGCGAGGCAGCGACAGCUGCGGCGGCGGCAGACCCUGCUGCAGCUGCGGUGGCUGCAGCGGAACCGCUGCUGCAACUCCUGCCUCCCCACCAGCACUGCCCGCCUGCACCGCAGCCGCUGCCGCUGCGCCUGCCGCAGCCCCCUGGGCGGCUUGAUGCCACGCCGCCGCCUCCUGGGGCAGCGGGAAGGCCUGCACCUCCCCGGGCAGGUGCAGCAGCGCCUCGUGGCGUGCCAGCGAGGCCUGCGCGUCAUCCAGCGCCUCCUCCGCCGCCGCCGCCUGCGGCAGGCCGUUCUCGGCCACCUCCCACCCGUCCGCCACGGGCGCCCACCAGUCAUCGCCUCGGUCCAGGAGCAGCUGCUCGCCGGGCCGCAGGUCGCGGACGGCCACCAGCACCGGCAGCACCACGCCGCGCACCGCAACCGGCACCACCUAGCAAUUGGAGGAGCGAGGCGGUUCCAAGGCCUACCUCAAGAAAGCUCGAAAGGGCAACGUGCAUGGCCUCGGGUUUCGGGUCACACGGAGUUUGGGAGCUGCAUGAAAACAGCCCGCAGCGCAGGGCGCUACCGCAAGACAGUCCCAGUCCGCCGUGUCACGCAAUACCGCGUCCGCCCCGUCCGCCUGCCCGCUCCCAUCCCCGCGCGCACCCACCACGCAGUUGGCCUGGCGCUCCUCCUCCGGAGGCUCCGGCAGCUCUAAGUCAUCCGUCGCGUGCCGCCGCUGCCCCGGGUCGUUCACCAGCGCCAACACGCUGCGUGCCGCCCCCAUGCUGAACAGCGUGAACUCCUGCUGCCGCGGCGCCGGCAGCUGCGAGUGCAUGCAGUGGGCGCUGUCCGGGGGCGCGAUACCUGUGCCUGCUCCGGCUGCUGCAGCGGCUGUUGCCAGGUCCGCUGCCGCGGCUGCUGCUGCUUUGGCGGCAGCCGCCGCGCCCGGCGUCUCCGUCAGCUCCGGCGGGUAGGGCAGGCGGUAGGACAGGGACAGGAAGCGCCACACCUCUCCAGUCUCGCCGCGCCGCCGCAGCUCCAGCAGCAGAGCGGGGUCGCCGCGAGCUGGGCGGUGGCUGGACGCCGCGCGCGGGUGGCCCACGUAAGCGAACUUGUAGGCGUCCUCAGAGCCGCCCGCAGUGCCCUGCGGGGCCGCACAGGUCGCGGGUGCGCGCGACAUGGAGCGAGCAGAUGCCUUACUACUUGCGUACAUCCCACCUUGACUUACGUAGAUCCCACCUUGACUUACGUAGAUCCCACCUUUCUUGCGUACAUCCCACCUCUGCCCGCUUCAUGACGACGCUCAAGAACCCGCCUUCUGACUGCCAUACUCGGGACGUCAAGCUACGCACGCGCUCACCUGCAGCAGCCAACCAGGCAUCACACCCAAGGGGUGGAACUUCCGGACCUCCGUGGUCACGCACGCGCCCAGCCCGCCGCGCCGGGCGUCGCGGCACGCCACCACGCAGGGUAGCGUCACGGGGCCGCGCGGCAGCGGCGUGGUGGCGUCAUACAAGUCCUGUUGUGGGAGAACGAGGGCGGCCCAGGUUUGCUAACAUUCCGUUGCAGAACCCUUUUGCAGUGGUCAAAUGUCAAUCAAGCGUCCAUAUGGACACAUUGUCCUGGCUUGUUUGGGAUCACGUUCGGGGCGUGUGCGGUGUUCCAGACUGGACAAUACGCUCGAGCGCACCUUGAGAUUCAGCAGGCUCGCAAGGCGGCGCUGAAGCACCCCGGUCCUGGUGCCGCUGCUGCUGCCGCCGCCCUCGCCGCCCCGAAAUAGAGCAUGCCAAGGCCUCGGCUGCGCCGACGCUGGCAGCGCCGCCUGCUGCCCCUGGCCUUUGUCUCCCUUUCUGCUGCCUCCACCAGGCAACGGCACGAUCUCGACUGCGGGCGUCUGCUCAUUGCCGGCGUGGCGUCGUAGCCAGUCCGCCCGCCCGGCGCGGGCGAAGGCGGCAGCCGCGGCAUUGCCACCGUCCCGCCUGACCGCAAACACGACGCCGCACAGUCGCAGCGACCCGUCGUCUGCAUCUUCCGCGGGCACCUCGCGUGCUGCUGCCUGCGGCGCGCCGCCGCCGGCCCCCGCAGCCUCCGAGGCACCAGGCAGCAGCCGCCUCCAGCGCAUCUGCUCCAGCGUGAUGGUGCCGGCGACCUGCUCCCACUGCGCAUCAGCGGCGGCGGGCGGCGUGAAGCUGGCGGGGUCGGCGCCGGCCGGCACCCAGCCGUCCGGGUCGUGCACGCAGGCGGCGGCGCCUGCCGCGCCGGCAGCCGCCGCGGUGCCGAGGCCGGGCUGCUGUAGCGGCUGGGGCUCCUGGGGCGACUUCCGCUGCUGCUGCUGCUGCUGCUGCUGCCCUGUUGCGACGUCGCGGGCCAGCGGCGGCGGCGAGACGCUCGGCUUGGGGCGCGCAGGCGCCACUGGAGCCGGCGGCGGCGCACGCGCCCGUGGCGGCGCGCCGUCCUUGGCCGCGGCCUCGCCUUUGCUGCCGGCAGACCUGGCGGCUGCCCCGCCGUCGGCACUCCGCGGGCUGGGGGCCUCCCGGCUGGUGGUGGCUGGCGCCGCCGGCGCUGCGGCCGCGACCCCGGGAUCCGUCACACCACGCGCCCCGUGUGCCACCGCCACGGCACCCCGCCGCGCCAGUCCUCCCGCUGCUGCCCCGGCACGCUCCCCCUCCUGCUCAUCGUCCUCAGAGCCCUCCUCGCCCUCAUCCAAGCCCUCAUACGCGCCCUGCUCCUGCCCCGACUGCUCGUCAGCUACGGCCGCGCCCCCCGGCCGACGCGAGACGCAGCGCACGGCGUAGUGCGGGGGGGCCAGCCGCACCGCGCCCGCCGCCAGCGGCCGUCCGGCAUUGUCGCAGGCUUCCAGGACCAACUCCUUGCCGACCGCCAAGCCCAAUCGCUUGCGCAUGUCAGCUGGAAUCGUCAUGUACAGGUUAGUCCUGCCGCUGCGUAAUGUACGCUGUGGAAUGCAGGCGGGGAGACAAGGCGGGGCGUUGGUGGGCCAGCGAGAGCCGUCGGAGCGCAUUAGAGCGCUAGCAGGUGGCAGUGAGGGUGCAGAGCAAAGUGACAGGCGUGGCGGGCGGGACGUUGGAUUCCAGACUUGGACAUGCAGGGAAUGGCGCGGCUCACCGUAAAGGUUUCCUUCGUCCGCCCAAUGUGCAGGACCACUGAGCUGCCUAUGCCCAGCCCGGCGAACCCGCCGCCCCGACAGCACCACGCCCUGGGGAUGAUGAUGCACCUGCGCCGGCAAAUAACAACACAGAAAGGGCCGGCGCAUGUUUGCACCACCACCCCUUGAGUGACCGCAGUUGCCAGGAGCUUCGUCCCAAGCCGAGUGCCGAAAGCUAUCAGCCAAUGCCUGCCAGUGUGGGGGUUCAUGUUAAUGCGCUUACCCGUCGGCGUCGGUUUUCGACAGCACCUUGCAGCAGGCCGGAAGGGCUGCACCCGCCUCCGCCGCCACCGCCGCCGCAGCCCUGUCCCCGCCAUGCUGUGCCGCCGCCGCCGCCGCCGCCGCCGCGAGGCGCCCAGAUUGUGGCAGCGCCUCCACGAUCACCUCAUCUUCGCCGUCCAACACGGCCUCAUCCUCGGACUGCAGGACCUCAUCCUCAUCCGGCUCCUCAUCCUCGUCUUCAUCCUCGUCCGUCACCGCACCCGCGGCCCCUCUAGCGGCCGCGCCGGCAUUGCCAGCGGCUCGGCCGGACCUGCCAUGUAGUCCCGCCCCGUCGGUGCCGGUGCCUAGGACCUCCAGACAGACGUGGCGCGGCGUCAGCGGUGCGUCGCCGGGCUGCAGCGGCCGGCCGUCCGCCCCGCACGGCGCGAGCGCCAGCACGCGCCCGCGCUCCAUGCGCAAUGCAUCCUUCAGGGCCUUGCCGAUACGAACGCCCAGUGCGCCCGAGAGGCCCACGUUGGCCUGUGCGUUACGCAUGGGCCGGAAAGAGCUACUGACGGGUGGAGCGUUAAGCGUAGGCCCUAGCAAAGUGUUUUGUUGCGCGUGUGGUCACGCAAGUUGUCACGUGUCAGCAUGUACACACGGCUCGAGGGUAUUAACCCCAGGAGUCAUAGCGCUUCGCCAAAGUGCGCCGCACGUACCUGCGUGAACUCGGCAGAACCGCGCACGUGUAGGCACAAGACCUGCCCCCUCGUGGUACCCGCCAUGACUCCUCCCGCCUUCAGCCACGCCACAGGGAAUUUGACCUUCCUAUAAAUCAGAGCAUGCCCGCACGCGUGAAGGACAUGCGUUAUCCUAGGUAUGUACAGAUCGGCAUUCCUCAUCAAGGCCCUAGAGUAAUGCAUGCUCUUGCCCGACUUGAGCCUUGUACACAGUCAAACAGCAUUACGUACUGAGCGCAGUCGGUUUUGGUGAGCUCCUUCAUGCAGGAAAUGUUGAAGGUGGGGAAUCCGCCAGCCACCGCGCCAGGCGCCGGCACACUGCCCACAGCAGGGCCAGCACCAGCAGCUGGAUUGGAUUCCGCACGCUCCAUCCCGUCGACGCCUUGACCCUCUUGCUCCCCCGGCUCCGCCUCCUGCUGCUGCUCGUCCUCCUCCGCAGCCGCCAUAUGCGCAUCCGCCUCCCCCGCAUCCGGCACUGCGGCCGGCGACCGCGCCUGCGGCCGCCGCUGCGGCUGCAGGGGCUGCUGCUGGUCCGCCCUGGGUUGCAGGAGCGCGGCGCAGCCCGCGGCGAGGUCAGCCUUACGCACGCACCACACGGUGAAGUGCACGGGCGGCACUUUCCAGUCAGCUGCCAUCCGGGCCGCCGCUGCGGAGGCGUUCUCAUGCGCCUGUGCCGGCGACACGGCGGCGGCGGUGGCGGCGGCGGUCGAGGCCCAGGGGGCGGGCGGGUGCAGGCAGCGCGCAAAGACGAGUGCGUCGCCGGCUGUCGGCUUGUAGUGAUCCAACAUGGCUUUGGUGUCGUGCAGGCGCUGAGCGCUGUUGCCGUUGCCGCGCACGCGCAUCUGCGGGUGUUGGUGCACAAAUGCAGCGUUGGCGCGACGUCAAAGCACCGGCCUGAAGACGGCCCCAGCGGCCAGCGCCAAUUCCACGCGGCAUGCAGCAGGUGCGGAAAACGCGCGGAAAAAGCAGCACGCGUGUGGUAUUCGAGCCACGGUGCGAUGCCGUGGCGAUGCCUUUAAACUUCCGGUUCCCCACACACGAUUCCUCCUUGCAGCUGAACCUACAACCCCUGCCAAAACCUACCGCCCAGCUCCCGCCGCCUGCGCCGUCGUGCAGGACCACAGGCCCGCAGAAGGGCUCUUCCUCGUUGUCGGCGUGUAGCCCGUGGAAGACUCCGUCCUCGCCAGUCAUGGCUGACGUAAAGCAGAUGGGCCCGCCCUUGACACUGCCCACCUCCGAGUUCGCCAGCUGCUUGCUACAGUGCCUGUCCAGACUGGCUCCUGCGCCGCCGCCGCGUCCGCCACCACCCAUAAGGAGCGGCGGCGGCUGAGGCUGAGCCCGCGGCCGAGAUCGAGGCGUCGGGCUGACCGACCCGGCCGGCCCCUGCGGCGUGGCUUGAAGCUGGAGCGGCGCCGGCUCCGAGCGAAUGGCGGGCUCUUCAGAUGAGUCUGGGGUCGUCUGCGGCGGCGGCGGCGGCCUACGCGGCACGGCGGCGCGGGCAGCGGCUGUGCCCGCUUCAGCUCCCUUCGAGUCUGAGGGUGACGGCCUCGCCGCGACCUGGACCUUUUCCAGAGUGGGCUUCCGUAGGGCCGGCGACGCGCCCUCGGCUGCAGGCGCCGCCGCCGCCACGACAGCCCCGCCAGGUACACGGCCCUGCUGCCGCUCCCACUGCGAGCCCGAGGCCUCCUCGCCCUCCUCCUGCCCGCCGUCUCGAGACGACCGAGACCCCUGCGCCCCUGCGCCCGCGUCGCCAGGAGCCGCCGAAGUCGGGCCCCGCCCUCCGCUGGUGGUGGACACAGCGCCCACGGUCUCGCCACUGUAGCGGUCGCCGCCACCACCCGCGCUCCCAGGCGCAGCGACUGAGCGGGCCCCGCCGCCACCGCCGCCCAAGCCGCCCAGCCCACCAACGUUGCCGCUGCUGCCAACCUGUGCAAGGCCCGACAGCUCCGCCAGCGGCGGCGGCGCCGCCGGCGCCGCGCCAAAUCCCAACGCCGGGUGCCGGCUGCCUUGCUCUGCGCCUCCGAGCCCAGCAGCCCCUGCUACCGCGCCCGCAUGCACGCAAACGCCGGCGCUGCCGCCCGCGCCCGCGCCCGCCGCUGCUGCGUCCGCCUCCUCGCCAGCGGGCCUGAGCAGUGCGACAAUCUCGUACGGCCGCGCCGGCCUGGGCGGGUCCGCAGGCCCGGAGGCGCAGCUGCCGUUGGCUCGCAGCAGUGUGUAUCGGCCCCGCGGCACGCCCUCCACAGGCUCCCGGAUGAGUUGCAGGCCUGCCACCUCGGGCGUGGUCGGGUCCAGAACGCCGCCGUCCGCCGUCAGCCACCUCGAGGGGCCGUUCAGGCGGAUGCGCCACGCCGCGUCCUUGCCCUUGCCCUUCGCCUUGCCGCCCGCGCCCCUGCCGGCCGCUGCCGCCCCGGCCGGGGCACCUGCGGCGGCGGCGGCGCCGCCGCCGCCCGUGACCUCUUGCAGCGGUCGCAGUGUGUCCGCAGCGCUCAAGCCGAGGACCGUGAAGAGCACCGCGCCGGCCCCGUCGCCGUCCGACACAGGCACCAUGUCUUGAGCUCCGGCGCCCGCGCCGCUGUCCAGCACCGGCCCCAGCUCGGCGACGCAGGCGAGGCCCGCGGCGCGCAGGUCUGCCGGCUUCAGGGCCAGCAGCUUGCGACGCGGCGCGGCAGGGUCGCGCGACGGCAAGACGGUGACUGUGAAGUGAAUGGUAAAGGCCCGGACGCAGUGGCCCGCACGCAGGGCGUCCAGCUGGUUCCCGUCAUGCGGCGGUUGGCCUGCAGUCGCUGGCUGGGGGGCUGUCGCGGCUGCGGCUGCGGCUGUCCCCACCGCCGGUUGGGUUGCUGCCCCCGCCUGGGUGGCUUCUGCUGCGUCUGCAGGUGCCGCUCCGGUGGCACUUGGCGCCGCUGCAGUGUCGGUCCCCGCGGCGGGUGCAGUCGCCGCAGCGGGCUCCCCUCCAGCAUCCGCCAUGUCAGCCUCCACCAAUGCCUGCUGUGCCUGCGGCGCAGCUGUGGGCGCUGUAGCUGCGGGGCUGGGUGCAGUCGCAACCGCAGCUGCCACCUGUGGCGGCGCGGCAGAAGGCAGGACCUCCACCGCAGUGCUGCCGGCGGGCGGCGGUGCUACUUCUGGCCCCAUCGCGGCCAGCAGCACGGCUUGCAGGGACAGCGGCGAGACUGCGAAUGCAGACGCAGCCGGUUGCUUAGGCCCCGGCGCAGGUUGGAGCCCGCAGCCGCUCGCAUGCACAGCGGCAGUCGCGGCCUCGGGAGCCGCCGCAGGAGGGGCUGUAGCUGCGACCGCGGCUGGCACCGGCUGCGAGCCAGCCUCGGCACCAGCUGUGCCACCGCUCGCGGCGGCGCCAACAUUUGCAGCAGCCGGGGCGGUGUCUGACCCCAGCGCAUGACCGCCCCCUACUACGCCUGCCCGCGGUGUGCCUGCAUCCGCCGCAGCUCCAACCGCCGCGCCCACGUCAGUAAUUCUGACCAGCAGCUGCUGCUGGGGCUGCUGCGUGGGCUGGUCACGUGGCUCUGACUGUUGGCCCGCCGAUGGCUCCAUUGGCGACCCAGCCGCACCUGCGGCGGCACCGGUGCUGACAGUGUUGGCAGGCGACAACGCAGCCGCCUCUGGCACCGGUGCCUGCCGCGGGAUUGCGAAUUUGUUCUUGCGGUGGCGGCGGAGCAGCGCCAGGGAGCUCACAUUGGCGAAGUCCACCGCCGGGGCUGCAGCUGAAGGCGCAGCCGUAGGAGGAGCUGAAGGUGCAGAUGUAGGUGCAACUGGCAUUUGGCGUGAGAGGUGUAAGAGAAGGCGGGGGCCACAGAGGGUAAGGAGGUGCGCGUGUCACGGUCUGAGAGGUCGCGCAGCACGGCGCAGCAGCUUCAACGACUUACGAGCGGUUCCCGCCGGAUUUCCACAGCUCCCCUUCGCUCCACCCUCAGCCGAUUGAGAGUCCGCAGGCUGUACAUCCAUGGUCAAAUCGUUGUAUCCCAAAGCUCAAGGCAUGGCACCUCGCUCGCGCAACUCUCCCGACAAAGGUGCACUCCCCGGUGAGCCGUUCCGCCGCAUCAUAGCAACUAUGGAGCUACAUGCAAUAUUUAGGCAUGCUUUUGCAUCGCUAAUUGCAAAAGGGACGUCUUGCCGAGGCAAGCCUGUACACGGCGGAUAUUUCUUUCGCGGGCGAACCUAGCCAGGCAUGGAGUACAUUGGUUUGAUGUUGUUUGCGUAGAAAACUCCAGAUGUGGCUACGAAGUUGCGGGAGGGAUGCUUCUGCUGAACCCCAUUCCAGGCCCAGCCCUGGCCCUGAUAGCCCCGACCGCUCCCCGUGGACUGUUUGCAGGCUUGCUGUUAUCUUACAAGGUACCAGACUUCCUGCCAACAACGUCAGAUACCGAGAAGGUUGCAGGUCUGGGCGUUAAGCCCAGGAAUAUCGGCAUGCCAUUUC
rnacentral:lncRNA from 1 species